rnacentral:lncRNA from 1 species
AUUCCUUGAAGUACAAUAUCUACAACAUUUCAUUGAUACCAUUACAAAACAAUCAGUAUGUAGAUAGUUACUUCCAUUGAUAAUUAACUAUCUCUUAAUUACACACAAACUUUCAAACUCCAUUGCAUUUCUAUUGAUCGCAAUAUUAAAAAAAACAUGUUGUUUGAUAAAUUUCUAUCAAAUUUAAUUAUAAAUCAUAAAGUGUAAAUCAAUGUCGCGCAAAUGGCAACUCUAAAUACUAAUUAUAUCAAAAGUUAACCGAUUACAGGGGGAACAUGCAUUUAUGAAAAGGAAAGACGCUUCAUGGAAAUGGUCUCAAUACAAUGCAAUAUUUAAAAAAAUUUCCUUACAGGAGAAUCUGAGGGUAUUUCGUUUAUAUUGCUGAUAUAUAAAUUGUUAUCACAAACCUAUUCUUUGAAUUACAAUAUAUACAACAUUUCAUUCAAACCAUUGCAAAAUA